CGCGUAGGUGGUAUCGUGUGUCGAGUGUGAAAUCCCAUGGCUCAACCAUGGAAUGGCACUCGAAACUGCGGAACUAGAGUGCAGGAGGGGAGAGUGGAAUUCUCGGUGUAGCGGUGAAAUGCGUUGAUAUCGAGAAGAACACCGGCGGCGAAGGCGACUCUCUGGAAUGCAACUGACACUGAGGCGCGAAAGUCGGGGAGCAAACA
rnacentral:rRNA from 1 species